rnacentral:lncRNA from 1 species
GCCCACACUGUUGCCUGGGCUAGAGUGUAGUGGCACGAUCUCAGCUCACUGCAACCUCUGCCUCCCAGAUUCAAGAGAUUCUCCUGCCUCAGUUUCCCGAGCAGCUGGGAUUACAGAUGCCCGCCACCACACCCAGCUAAUUUUUUGUUUUUUUAGUAGAGACAGGGUUUCCCCAUGUUGGCCAGGCUGGUCUCAAACUCCUGACCUCAUGAUUUGCCCGCCUUGGCCUCCUAAAGUGAUGGGAUUACAGGCGUGAGCCACCGCACCCGGCCUGUAUUCAUAUAUAUAUAUAUAUGGAAGUACAGGCUCCAAAGCCCCCAUACUAUUUCCUGUUUCCUCUCCCUUGCACUGGUACAUGUUUGAUAUAUACAACUUUUCAAUAUUUUGGCAGCUUCACCUGUGAUUUUUUUUUAAUAAAAAAAGAAGGGGCAGGAGGUGACAGUAAUCAUCACAAUUUAUUUUUUCUUGUCACAUGAAAAGAAACAAAUCUUUGUGAAAUAAUUUAAUACUUUGAAGGGUGACCCAGAAACACAAGUAAUGGCUAUCAAUGCCUCUUCCAGCCAGUGAAGCUACAAGAACAAGGGAGUCCAAUGCUUCUUUUGAAGAAAGCUUUAAAUUCAUGGCACUAUUUUGGAAUAUGAGAAAAAUAUUUUAAAAUGCAUUUCUUGGCCUCUCUUGUUUUGUUUUGUUUCCUUCCUGCUGCUCUUGGGGAGUAUUAAUAAAAGAGAUGGGAUAAGUGAAAAACACAAGACAGAGAACUAUUUAUUUUUUUUCAGUUUUUUUGCCACUGAAAUGAAAAGAUUAUAAUAAUAAUAGUCACCAUUUAUUAAACUCUGCUAAGCACAUCAUGGCCUGAUUCAAUCCUUUUAGCAUCAUACAAGGAAGUUAUUAUCUCCCCUUUACAGAGAAGGCUGUGGCUGGGGAGGUAGGGGUUGAGAACUUGCCUGAAGUCAUAGCACAUCCUAGCUGCUAGGAACUAUUUUCUGAGCUAGGCUCUUCACACUGACCAUCUUAUAAAGUCUCUCACAGCAUCCCUGGAAUAAAUGCAUUAUUGUCAACAUUUUUAUAACUUACAAAAGGCUAAGUGGUAAAUUGAGGGUAGAAUUCAAACUGAGGUCUUUCCAACUCCAAAACAUGUGCUGUGAUGACCGUGCCAUAAACUUUCUCGUACCUUGUCAGAACAAAUGUACUGAAACUACCAUAGUUUCAGAACUGUAAUAAUCGAUGCAUAGUCCCCAUUGGUAGAUUUAGUGUUUUACAAUAGAGUUUCUGAAAAGCAGUUUUAAAAUACCCUUCAGCAAGCAUUUACUGAGGCCUCGUCUAGGCCAGGACUUGGGCUGGACAUUGCAGGCAUGGCCACAGUAACGAUGACUCAGAACUUGCCCCCAAGGAGUUCACAGUCUGGGAGCAUUGGGGAGAGGAGCAGAAAGUAAACUAGAGAGCACAAAACACAAAGUCACACUCUUGUAUAACAUACACUCAGUAAAAAGGAGGCCCACUAGAGCAGGGUUUCUCAACCUGGCACUAUUGCAUUUGGGGCUGUCUGAGUCUUGCUGUGGGGGCUGCCUGUGCAUUGUGGGGUAUUAGCAGCAUCUCUGAAUUCUACUCAGUAGAUACCAGUAGCCCCCCCACAACCAAAAAUGUCUCUGGACAUUGCCAAAUGUCUCCUGAGGUUGGGGGAGUGAGAAUCACUGCCCCACAGUUACAUCCUGGCAGAGUUAAGCAAUGAAACAAAAUCACUGGCCAUUAAUAAUACUAUAUGAUUUUCAAUUAAGAGCUUAUUUACACACCAAGUACCUUAGAAACCUGAUCUCAUCCCAUCCUCAUCAAAACCUUAUGGUGUGUACAAGCUGGAAUGAUGCCUAUUUUAUAGGUUAGGGCACUGAGGCACAAAGAGUUUAGUGGAUGCCUAGCUGCACAGUAGUGACCGAUAGAGCAGGCAUUUGAAGCCUGCCCUGCCAUCUUAGUCAGUGCACCGAGAUAUGAAGAGCAUUUUUAAAGUGUGCUAGGCUCUUUCAUUUUCAUUACAUGUCCACUGAUAUGGUUUGACUCUGUGUCCCCACCGAAAUCUCAUGUCGAAAUGCAAUCCCCACAUGUUGGAGGAGGGACCUGGUGGGAAGUGAUUGGAUCAUGGAGGUGGAUUUCCCUCCUACUGUUCUCGUGAUAGUGAGUGAGUUCUCAUGAGAUCCAAUGGUUUAAAAGUGUGUGGCACUUCCUCCCUUCACUCUCUCUCUCUCUCCGGCCACCAUGUGAAGAUAUGCGUGCUUCCCCUUCACCCUUCUGCCAUGAUUGUAAGUUUCCUGAGGCUUCCCCAGCCAUGCCUCCUGUACAGCCUGUGGAACUGUGAGUCAAACCCCUUUUCUUCACAAAUUACCCAGUCUCAGGUAGUUCUUUAUAUCAGUGUGAGAACAGACUAAUACAUCCACAGGCUGACCUAAUCUAAAAUUAGCAACACAAAGGAAUGAAUAUUUAUAAUUGUAUACAGUGUUAUCCUUUGUGAAUAUUCUAUCUUAUCCAUUCUGGACCUAAUUAAUCUAGUUUAUUUUGGAUGAUUUGCUUAUGGGAGUCUUGCUUUAACCAGGGAAAAUAUUUAUUAAUUCUGAAGAAUGUAGUAAGUUUCAUAUCUUGAUUUAUAUUUUGGCAGUUCAACCAUGCACUGUGUGGGGGCCAAAAAAAUCCCUAAAAAUAAUCAUAUGAUAUUGGCUAAGACCAAAUGCAGCCAGUUAUUUCUGUUGGUAUGUCUUAAUGAGGGAAAAAGGCAGAGCUGGAUGCCUCUUCUUUCUUAAAUUAAAAACAAAACAAAAUAAACAAGCAAAAAAAACUUCAAGAGACUUCAAAGGUCAGUAGAAAGUUUUCGUUUAAAUUGCCAAUUGUACAAUUUGAGGAAUGCAAGUAAACUGCCCUCAAAUAACUUUUCUAGGUAUUUUUCAAAAAAUUCUAAAGGGAAUAUUUGCUUUCUUAUCUAGGCUUAGAUAGCUUGGAUAGAAUAGUUAUUAUUUUAUAUUCAAUCUUUUACUUUAGCAGACUAUUAGGAUAUGCUUGUUGUGACUCAGUUUUUUGUAUCUACCAUCUGUUGGUUUAUUACCCAAAUCUAUAAGUAAACAUCAACAUAGGAAGCUUUACUGUCACUGAAGCUUUAUUAAAUAAAUGAGUUUAAUUGUGGAUUGUUAUCUGUGAAGUCAGGACCUGGGAGAGAAAAAAGCUACCAGCAACAUUCAGACUGAGAGAGGCCAAAAUACUAAUUCAUAAUUAGCCUGGUACAUAUGAAGGAUCAAAAAGAACAGGACUGUAUGUCUGACCUCUGACAGGCCCUACCACCAUAGUAGAGACUCAGUAUGUAUACUUAAUGAAGGAAUAAUGAAUACAUCAGCAAGAGAAAUAAGAGUGACCAUAUGUUCCUUAAGAGAAGCAAAGAGCAGCUCCUGUUCCUGCUGGAAUGAGUCUCCAUUCCUUGCAACAGAAGUGUCCUAAGUUAUAGCCAGAGGACGGGGGCACAUUGACAAAACAUAAAGCGGAUAUGAUAAUAACAAGGUACCAUUCCAGCAAGAACAUCUGAAGAAAGAAGCAGUGUUGUUUAUCUUUCCUUCAUCUAUUCUGAAACUAAAAUCCUUAACCAAAUUUAUUUCCGAAGUUUAACCCUUUAAUAAACUGGCCUCUGACUCCACCUGGUGGAGAUACAUAAAUCUAUGAAAAUAAACCAAUCCAAAUGAAGAUUUUAAAGUCAUCAGCUCUCUUUCAUGUCUCAAAGAAAAAACACAUAUCCCGAAAUUCAAAUAGAUGACCUUCUCGGAUGUGUUAUAGGCACUCAGAAGCCCCAAAGAAAAAAUAGUUUGAGUUGAUCAUUUGACUGUUGCUCUCAGCCUUCAUUUCUGCCUUUCUAGGUUGUGUCAGGCAUUUUGACUGUCCAGGGGCCCUGCAUAUUCUAUUUUCCUAGUUACUUGCUAAGGUUUGAAUAUUUGUCCCCCUCCAAAACUCAUGUUGAAAUUUAAUCCCAAAUGUGGCAGUAUUGAGAGGUGGGGCUUUUCAGAGGUGAUUGGGUCAUGAGAGCUCUGUUCUCAUGAGUGGAUUAAUCCAUUCAUGGAUUAAUGGAAUAAUGGACUAAUGGAUUAAUGAGUUAUCAUAGGAGUGGGACUGGUGCCUUUAUAAUAAGAGGAAGAGAGACCUGAGCUAGCACACUCACCCUCUUCACCAUGUGAGGUCCUGUGCCACCAUGGGACUCUGCAGAGUCUCAUCAGCAAGAAGCCACUUACCAGAUGUGGCCCCUUGACCUUGGGCUUCUCAGCUUCCAUAACUGUAAGAAAUAAAUUUCUUUGUAACUUGCCCAGUUUCAAGUAUUCUGUUAUAAGGAACUGAAAAUGGACUAAGAUACUUUCCUAUUGGCUUCUGGUUAGUUUCUAUCAAUAAGAAUUACUGGUAGAAGUUUGAAAGGUAGGAGUGGAGAGAUGGGACCUUUUUUAUUUUAGUUUCUAUUGGCAUUUUCCAGCAGCAAGGAACAAUGGGCAUUUCAUCAUCAUCUUUUAGCAUUUCCAGCACCCACAGCAAGGAGUCCUUUCACCUGCUUAGUAGCAGCCCUUCAGUAAUCCUAGCAUCUAUUUUAGGUGGUGUUUCAUUUGUGGUCUCAGGACUGGCCCAGGUAGUUCUCUUCUCCAUGAUUCUGGACUCUGGUGAUUCCAUCACCUCCACGUACGCCUUCAGCCAGAAGGACUGUCGCUGUUCCCAGCAGCCAUUUAGCAUAGUUACCUAAGUGUAACCAAAUUCCUGUAUUAUAUUCACUUGUUUGAAAAACCUUGAGUGAUUUCUGACCCACUUCUGUCUCAAGGCCUGAAUAUUCUGAUUCAGAUGAAUUUCAGAAAAUGGAAAAAAAAACUUAGUGAAUAAAAAAGAUUAAAUAGUUUUUAGAAAACCAUAGGAGACAAAAAAGCAACUGGAAGUCACACACACACACACACACACACACACAUUCUUUUAACUUUAUAAGUUAUAAUAAAUUAUGGUAAAAGAGUGACAAGUUUACCUACAUGAAUAUUGAAGCCUUUGUAAAAUCUUUAAAGAAAAAAGGGUACCAAUACAACAGAAAAUUUCAGACUGGAAAAAUAUUGGUAGUCAUCGUCUUAGUUUGAGCAUUUAUCAAUUGCAUUAUAGCAAAACCCUCCAAACUGCUCUCUCUGCUUUGAUUGUCUCUUUUUUUUCCAAAUCUUUUCUGCAUAUUGUCAAAGUUACAUUUCUAAGGAGCAAAUUAAAUGCUGUCACUAUGCUCUUUGAAUUAUCAGUCAACAAAGAGAUUUUUUAAACUAAUUAAUUUAUAAUUAUCCACAGAAAUACAUAUUAAAAGGACAGUGAGGUGUCUGCUAACUCUUUACUCUCUUGGAUGCAGCUUAAUUUCUUCUUCCAGGGACACUUUUCUGACAAUUUUGUUCUUAUACAAUUAUAGCAUUUUUUUUUCUUUUUUUGAGACAGGGUUUCACUCUGUCACACAGGCUGGAGUGCAGUGGCAUGAUCUUGGCUCACUGCAACCUCCGCUUCCUGGGUUCAAGCAAUUCUCAUGCCUCAGCCUCCAAAGUAGCUGGGAUUACAGGCAUGCACCUUCACAUUCAGCUCAUUUUUUUUUUUCUGUAUUUUUAGUAGAGACAGGGUUUCACCAUGUUGGCCAGGCUGGUAUUGAACUUCUGACCUCAAAUGAUCCGCCCACCUCGGCCUCCCAAAGUGCUGGUAUUACAGGCGUGAGCCACUGCGCCUGGCCAGUUAUAGCAAUUUUAAAAACAAUAUUCUAAUCAUGUCCUUUGCAG